UAGAGGAGCCUGUCUAAUAACCGAUAACCCACGAUCAACCCAACCACUUCUAGCCACCCAGUCUAUAUACCGCCGUCACCAGCCUACCUUGUGAAAGAAACAAAGCAAGCUCAACAGUAUAACACUAGUAAGACAGGUCGAGGUGUAACAAAUGAAGUGGACCAAGAUGGGCUACAUUUUCUAACACAGAAAACACGAACAGAAAUAUGAAAAACUCCUAGAAGGCGGAUUUAGCAGUAAGCUAAGAACACCCUACUUAACUGAAACCAACGCAAUGAAGUGCGCACACACCGCCCGUCAUCCCUGCCACUAAAAUUAACACCUCUACAUAAACCAUUAAACAUUAAUAAACCAGGGCAAGUCGUAACAUGGUAAGUGUACUGGAAAGUGCACUUAGAAUA
rnacentral:rRNA from 1 species